AUUGAACGCUGGCGGCAGGCCUAACACAUGCAAGUCGAGCGAGCGGCGGACGGGUGAGUAAUGUCUGGGAAACUGCCUGAUGGAGGGGGAUAACUACUGGAAACGGUAGCUAAUACCGCAUACCAUCAGAUGUGCCCAGAUGGGAUUAGCUAGUAGGUGGGGUAACGGGUCACCUAGGCGACGCGCCCUAGCUGGUCUGAGAGGAUGACCAGCCACACUGGAACGGAGACACGGUCCAGACUCCUACGGGAGGCAGCAGUGGGGAAUAUUGCACAAUGCGCGCAGGCCUGAUGCAGCCAUGCCGAGUGUGUGAAGAAGGCCUGCGGGUUGUAAAGCACUUUCAGCGGGGAGGCGUUACCCGCAGAAGAAGCACCGGCUAACUACGUGCCAGCAGCCGCGGUAAUUC
rnacentral:rRNA from 1 species